rnacentral:rRNA from 1 species
UACGGAGGGUGCAAGCGUUAUCCGGAUUUAUUGGGUUUAAAGGGUCCGUAGGCGGACCUAUAAGUCAGUGGUGAAAUCCUAUCGCUUAACGAUAGAACUGCCAUUGAUACUGUAGGUCUUGAGUAUAUUUGAAGUGGCUGGAAUAAGUAGUGUAGCGGUGAAAUGCAUAGAUAUUACUUAGAACACCAAUUGCGAAGGCAGGUCACUAAGAUACAACUGACGCUGAUGGACGAAAGCGUGGGGAGCGAACAGG